rnacentral:ncRNA from 18 species
UAACCUCGGAUUAGGUAAGAAUAUUUACUAAAUUUAAGUAUAUUAAUAAAUAGAGGAAAAGAAAUUAAUAAGGAUUACUUUAAUAAUAGCGAGUAAAGUAGUAAUAGCUUAAAUUUAAAAUCUAGCUCCUUCGGGGUCCGAGUUAUAAUUUAUAGAGGAUACUUCGAGUUAUAGUUCCUUCCGAGUUCCCUAGAAUAGGACGCUAUAGAGGGUAAGAGCCCUAUCUAGUAGGAAACUAUAUUUAUAUAAAGCUCCCUUAACGAGUCGAGUAGUUUAGGAAUAUUAUUUUAAGGGGAGGUAUACUCUUUCUAAGGCUAAAUAUUAAUUAGAGAUUAAUAGCAUAUAAAUAGAAUAAUUAAAAGAUAAAAAGUAUUUUAAAAAGAGAAUUAAAUAGUAUAUAAAAUUAUUAAAAGGGAAGCGCUCGCUAUUAAAUAUAGGUUUAAUAGUUUAAUUAGAUCUAUAACCUAGGGCAAUCCGCUAGCCUCGGCUAGUAUUAGCUUUCUAUUAGGGGUAAAGGUAUUAAGAAUAUAGCUCUCCUUCGGGGGAGUAUUAUAGCUUAUCGUAUUAUACCCUUUAAGGGGCUAAGGUAUACGCUCCGUAAGGAUAUUAAUAUAAUAGUAAUUAAUAACCUAUCUUAAAAUACGGAUUAAGGAGUUAACCUUAUAUAUAAAUGCCUAGGUAUAAAACCCUAAUAUAGAAUAAAAGUAAACGUAAGUAAGAGCUUUAGCGUAUUACCGACUAAUCCUAAUAUCCUUAGACGGACUUAAGUAAGAGUAUAUAAGGUUAGACCCGAAAGAAGAUAAACUAUAUAUAUAUAGAGUAAAGCUAAAGGAAACUCUAAUAAAAGCUCGUAAUAGUUCUAAUAUAUAAAUCGAUUAUUAAAUAUAUAUAUAGGGGCGAAAGAUUAAUCGAAUCUUCUAAUAGCUAGUUUCCACUAAAGUUUCCCUUAAGAUAGUAAUAUUAAUCCUAGUUUUAUAAAGUAAAGCGAAUAAUUAAGGACUUAAAGGUACUAUUUAGCCUUUAUCUAUUCUUAAACUUUAAAUAUAUAAAAAGUCCCUAUUACUUUAUUAAAUAUAGAUAUUAGAAUAAAAUAAUAUUAAUAGGCUAUUUUUAAUAAAUAGAAUUAGCGAUAUAGGAUAAACCGAAUAUAAGGUUAAAGUACUAGAGUAGAUACUUAUUAAAUAUGAUAAAAGGUAUUAAUAUAUCCUAAUAAUAGGAUAAUAGCUAUAAAAGUCGGAAUCUAUUAAAGACUAUAUAAUAAUUUACUUACCGAAUAUAUUAGCCCUAAAAAUAGAUAGCGCUUAAGUAUCCUAUUUAUACCUCGCCCUUAAUAUAGGCUUAGUAUAUCGAGGAGUAGGCGGACGUAGAGGUUAAUAACGAAGCCUAGGACGUAAGUCCGGGUAGAAUAGCCUCUAGUAUAGAUCUUAGUAAUAAUAGUAAAUACUUUAAUAAGAAUUUAAAGGACCGAAAUAAGGAAAGGUUUUAUAUAAAUAGUAAUUAAACGUAAAUUAAUCGAUCCUAAGCUAUAAAGAAGUUCUAUUUUAAAGGGGCGCUUUUACCCUAUAUAGCGAAAAGGAAGCUAGUUAAUAUUCUAGUACCUAGAUAUAGGUUUUAUAUAGUAACGUAACUAAACGUAGAGACGAUAGUAGGGGCCCUAGGAAGAGUUCUCUUUUCUUCUUAACGAUCUAUUACCCUAAAAUCGAUUUAUCCGGAGAUAGGGUUUAACGGUCGGAAGAGCUUAGCGCUUCUAUUAAGUCUAGUAUAUCCUUAACGUCCAUCAAAAAUCUAUAAAAAGGAAUAAUUCUUAUACUAGGUCGUACUUAUAAUUAUAAUAGGUCUCUAAGGUAAAUAGCCUCUAAUUAAUAGAAUAAUAUAGAUAAGGGAAAUCGGUAAAAUAGAUCUAUAACUUCGGGAAAAGGAUUAGCUCUAAGGAUCGGGCGUAUUAGGCCUUAAAUAGACGGUUUAAUAGUAGGAGGUUACUAGCUAGGUAAUUAGCUAGAGGCUCCCUACUACUUAGCUUAACGCUCUUAGUAGGCUUCGGCCGUCUAGUACGUAUUUAACGAUUAACUUAGAACUAGCGCGGAUAGGGGGAAUCUAACUAUCUAAUUAAAAUAUAGUAUUAUAAUAGCUAGAAAGUAGUAUUAACGUAAUAUAAUUUCUACCUAAUACUCUAAAUAUUAAAGUAAAGUAAUUUAAUUAAAUACGGGUAAAUAGUAGGAAUAACUAUAACUCUCUUAAAGUAGCUAAAUACCUUAUUAUCUAAUUAAUAAUAUAUAUAAAUAGAUUAACGAGAUUCCUACUAUCCCUAUCUACUAUUUAGCGAAAUUUUAGCUAAGGGAACGGGCUUAAUAGAAUUAGCGGGGAAAGAAGACCCUAUUAAGCUUAACUCUAGUUUAAUAUUAUAAAAAGAUAUAGGAGGUAUAGAAUAAAUAAGAGCUCUAGCGCUAAUAAAAUAUUAUUACUUUUAUUAUUUUUUUACUUAUUUAAUAGAAUAGGGCUA